GAUGAACGCUGGCGGCGCGCCUAACACAUGCAAGUCGAACGGUUAAAGCACCUUCGGGUGUAUAUAAAGUGGCGAACGGCUGAGUAACACGUGGGCAACCUGCCCCGGAGUGGGGAAUAACAGUUGGAAACAGCUGCUAAUACCGCAUAAUGCAACGGAAUCGCAUGACUCUGUUGCCAAAGAUUUAUCGCUCUGAGAUGGCCUCGCGUCUGAUUAGCUAGUUGGCGGGGUAACGGCCCACCAAGGCGACGAUCAGUAGCCGGACUGAGAGGUUGGCCGGCCACAUUGGGACUGAGACACGGCCCAG
rnacentral:rRNA from 1 species